rnacentral:misc_RNA from 1 species
AAAUUAAAUCAUAUGCACCGUUUUUGUCUAGUCUUUCAGUUUCUUUUGGAGUGAUAAGAACAAUGAGCUUUGGCUUAAACUCAAGAGCCUUCUUGAUGAAAAUAUUAGAUUAGAAAGAGAUGCUUUCACACCAAAGGGCGGAUUCAACCCCAUUAUCAGUCGUGCACCAUCAGGUAAUUCGCCUAAACCAACCUUCAACCAAUCUUUCUUCUCAAAACAAAAAUCGUUCUUAGCUUGAAUAAUAUCAUAGUUU